AAAAAUCACCCCCUCCAUUUCUCUCGCUCUCUCUGAGCUUGUGACAAAUUAGGUCUGGAAGUGUCGCUCCAAGAUUCAACGCGAACCCAUCUCCCAUGCCCAUGAAGGAUUGCUAUCCUGUAUCUAUUACGGGAGAGAUGUCUGGAUCCACGGCGAUGAACAUGUGAGCAACUGCUAAUUGCAUGUGCAAUUUUUGGUUGAAGGGCCAUCACUAUAACUUGUCAAAUUGAGUCAGAUUGAGUUGGAAUAUGCAAAGGAAUUAAGCUUUUGACUUUUCGCCCAUUUCUUGUUUGUAUUUUGGCUAUAACUAUAUCAUGUGAUGGACUUCUUUGAAAAUGUUGGGGAUAUUGCUGAUGUGCGUUUCUCUUACGACGAGUGUGGAACUUUCGGGAGAAUUGUCCAUGUUGAGUUUGCAAAUGGAGAAGCUGCAAAGCAGGAAGUUGAGUGGAAUGGCAGGCUUGAAGAUCUGUCCUGUUGAACCUGGCAUUGUCCGUGAAACCCUUUGUGUCCAAGGUUUUGAUAAUUCUUCUGGAACUGACCAGAUCUGGAGCUUCCUGAAAAAAGCAUUUCCGAACUUGCAAAUCCAUCGUUCAGAUGGACAUUCCAGGGGAUCACAAAACUGGUGUUCCCUUGGGGACUGCUUUAAUUGAGUUUUUCAGUCUCCAAGCUUUCCACAAGAGCUCUUGAUUUGGAUGGACAAGAAGUCGGCGGUACCUCAUUGACAAUUAAGGAUUCUGUGCCAGUGUACCUUGAACGGGUACGGGGUA